CCGGUGGCUGGCGCGGGGGACACACGGAGGUGUGGCGGUGCGCACCGUGGCGGCUAGGUCGCAGGUCGCAGGCGGCGGUGUGUGUGCGCCGCCCUCCCUGACGCCUCACCACGAUUCCCCCUGCGCCUGCAGGCCGGCGCGAUGCGGCGCCGCUGCUGGGGCAUGUUCAGCUGCCCGUGCGCCGGCGCCGAUGCGUUUGGGGCCUUGGCUGCCGCCUCCGCCAAGUUGGCCUUGGGCAGUGACGUGGAGCGGGAGCACGGCUGUGGCGGCCAGCAGGAAUUUUUAGGACUUCAAGCUGGGAGGCAGCACGUCAAGUAACCCUGAGAGAACUGCUCCGUGAGCCAGCAUAUACAGGAGUUUUGCGACAAAGGGCAGGGCUUUCUCCAGCUGUGGCAAGCGGGGGCCACUCUUCAUCGCGGUGUGUGGGCCCUUCACCGUCGCGGCCCCUCUUGUUGCAGAGCACAGGCUCCAGACGCGCAGGCUCAGUAGUUGUGGCUCACGGGCCCAGCCGCUCCGCGGCAUGUGGGAUCCUCCCAGACCAGGGCUCGAACCCGUGUCCCCUGCAUUGGCAGGCAGACUCUCAACCACUGCGCCACCAGGGAAGCCCAACUUUCUUCUUAAUUAGAAACGCUGGUAGUUUAUUUUCAGCUAUACCAAGAAUGGACUAAUGCAUAUGUACAGAAAAGAAGAUGUAUGUUUGGUGCUGUGUACACAGGGAACAAGUAGAUGCUCAUAGCUGAUAAAAUGCCGGUGAAAACUUAUAAGGUCUUGCUGUCUCUAAGCUGAACCUGGUCACCUUUUUGGGACAAAGGAAAGAGCCCUGAGAUGUGAAGAAAAGGAGACAACAGUCACACACCCAGUGAAGACCACUGACAACUUCUGAAAAGAUGACAUUCUCUGCUCACCACUUGCAAAUUGAGCGGGGAUAGAGGAAGCAGCGGGGUCUGAACGAGACUAUUAUGCGGAAACAACAUUUAUUCGUUCUUGAAAGGAAUGUGUCAUGAGGACCUACUGCACGCUCACAGGUUGGCAUUUCAGCGUUUCAAGGUCUUUUGCCUGUGGGUAUGGUGGGAACAGGUGAAGGAGCUGUGCUGAUGCCAUUGAAGGCAUAUUCUCAAGAUGCUGAUGUGAUUCCUCAACACGAUAUCAAUGAGAAAAUGACCAAGAGCAGGAGGAAGAAGAGGACGAAAUGGCAGUUUCUCAGGCCUCAGUGACCCGGGCUGCUGUCCCAUCCCUAGAAUAUGAACAGGCUUGGGUCCCAAGGCUGGACUGACCUGGGACAGAGGGACCUGGGAAGGAUGGUGCAGCAAUUGAGCCCUCCUUGGACCUGUAGUUCCUGGUCCCAUCUGCGUGGGACCACUAUCUUCAGAUCCAGGUGGGCACUCCUACCCCUAAUGAAGCCCCAUCCCCCCAAAGGAUGGUGGACUCUUUGGGCCGGAAGAGCUCUGAAAAGUUACCUGGUCUCCACAUCUCCUGCUGGAAAUCAAGUUAUCAAUGCCUGAAGGAGAUUGACCAGAGGUGGAAGGACAUAGCAAAUCUCCAGAUCAUCACACAGACAUCAGCACCACAGAACCCCUAAAGUCCAGAAAGUGUAGAAGCAAAAGAGGGGACCAACUGCCUCAAAAGGGAUAUUAGUCAUGUAUACUCCCUGCAAGAGUACAUCAGAGGGCUUGUUUCCACUGAUGUUGACAAGAGAUGCUACAAAGGCACUUUAUGUUUUCUAUAUAAGAGAAGAAAAAUUAUUACAUUGGCUUUGUAAUUUAUUUCCCCCUGACCAUCAUUGAGGUUGGGUGCCUCUUCAUAUGUAAAAUGAUCAUUUUUCUUUUACAGUGAAACUUAAUUUCAUAGGUUCCAAAUAUUUUUGUUUGCUUCUAUUUUUUCUCUUGAUUGAGAGGCAAUUCAAAUAUACUUUAUAUUUGUGGUGUCUUCUCGAACAUCCUUCCAAGCCAAUUACACAGUCACUAAAAAUUUGCACACAGUCACUAAAAAAUUUGUGCACACAGUCACUAAAAAAUUUGUCAAUGUACUUGUUUUCACAGGUCAUCCAUCACUCAAGACACUUGAUAUGAGGGCCAUCUGCCAUGCACAGCCUUACAUCACGAGCUCUGUACUGAGCUCUUUGCUCUCCACUUGUGGACCAGUUAAAGGACAGGAUGAGGAUAUCAUUAAACCUCACAACCUACACCGAAGCACAUUGGUCAAUGCUCAAACAUCAUUGCCAAGCUGACAGACAACAGGCCUGGGAGCUUCUCCUAUGAUGUUCCCCAGCUUGCCACCAAGACAUUUGGUCUGGACCGUGUCACCAACCACAGAGCACAACUCAAAUGUCCUGAAGUAGACUCAAUGUGCAGACCAGAGAAUGUCAAACGUAAAUGUGACCAGGACUCCAAACUCAGGCAGCAGGCAAGAGAUCUGCCUGGGACUCCAUCCAAUUUUGCUAGAACCUCCCCUCUACCCUCCCCUCUCCCUCCACAAAAGUAAGACUCAGGUCCUUUUUAUCCUCUGGGGAUACUCAGAGACCUGAUCUGUGGAAUUAUCCACAGCCUUUAUCCUCUUCCCAGUACAACUGGACUUGGAUUCACACAGGCACACCAAAUGACCAUAAGGACACCUGCCCCAAUGCUAAGCAUUGACUCCCAGCCUCUACCCAACUCACCUCACCUGAGCCCAAUCCAGGCCUGCACUGUCCCCCAACCUCCACCAUCGAUGCAUGUUCCAGACCAACCCCUCAGAAUUGUCUUCAUGAUGAGACAAGGGAUGCGGGGAGGGCCCCAGGUUCAGAACACCUUUCAUUUCAUCCUCCUAAGAAGCCUUCUCCUACAAGUCAGAUGUUUCACCUCUUAGAGGAACCUGGGUGAUACUGACCCGUGUCCCAGUCCAUGUUCUCCAGGAGGACCUUCUGGUCUCCUCCUCUGAGGGGAGUGACCCGCCCUGCCCCAAGGCACAGAAGACUCAGCCUAGAGGCUAACGCGGCUCAGAGGCGACUACUGGAGUAAAAGAAAGAAGAAAGGAGCAGAAUUUGUCUCAUGAAUUAGCACUUCCCCAGCUGUGGUUUAUGUACAAAUUUCAGAACACCAAAUAAUAUUGAGAAUAGCACAGCCCAUUUCAUGUAAUGUUAUGAAUUGUGUAAAUUUAACUUAUGUUUUAAAUGGAGGUUACCAAACUGUCAUAUGAAGUAUUUAGUAAAUUUUUUAAAAUUUAAAUUGCUUGCUGAUCCUUUUACAAUAUAUGUCAUUAUGCUGUACACCCACCAUUUCUACAGUACUGUAUGUCAAUUAUAUCUCAAUA